rnacentral:tRNA from 1 species
GCCUGGGUGGCUUAGUUGGUUAAGCGUCUGACUUCGGCUCAGGUCAUGAUCUUGCAGCUUGUGGGUUCAAGCCCCAUGUCGGGCU